GAUGAAGAACUAGCGAAAUGCGAUAAGUAAUGUGAAUUGCAGAAUUCAGUGAAUCAUCGAAUCUUUGAACGCACAUUGCGCCCAUUAGUAUUCUAGUGGGCAUGCCUGUUCGAGCGUCAUUAAGUCCACUUAAGCCCUGCUUAGUGUUGGGAGACUGCUCCAGCGGUGCUACCCUGUAGCUACCCUGCAGCUCCUCAAAGACAGCGGCGGAGUUGUGGUAUCCUCUGAGCUUAGUAACUUGUUCUAGCUUUCGAGUACACCACUUCCCCUGCCGUAAAACCCUUAAUUUUUAAUGGUUGACCUCGGAUCAGGUAGGAAUACCCGCUGAACUUAAGCAUAUCAAUAAGCGGAGGA
rnacentral:misc_RNA from 1 species